GAAGAGAAGUUCUCGAAGCCUUACCACGCAAGUCGAACGGCAGCACGGGAGCAAUCCUGGUGGCGAGUGGCGAACGGGUGAGUAAUACAUCGGAACGUGUCCUGGAGUGGGGGAUAGCCCGGCGAAAGCCGGAUUAAUACCGCAUACGAUCUAUGGAUGAAAGCGGGGGACCGAAAGGCCUCGCGCUCAAGGGGCGGCCGAUGGCAGAUUAGCUAGUUGGUGGGGUAAAGGCCUACCAAGGCGACGAUCUGUAGCUGGUCUGAGAGGACGACCAGCCACACUGGGACUGAGACACGGCCCAGACUCCUACGGGAGGCAGCAGUGGGGAAUUUUGGACAAUGGGGGCAACCCUGAUCCAGCAAUGCCGCGUGUGUGAAGAAGGCCUUCGGGUUGUAAAGCAUUUUGUCCGGAAAGAAAACUUCCGCCCUAAUACGGUGGGAGGAUGACGGUACCGGAAGAAUAAGCACCGGCUAACUACGUGCCAGCAGCCGCGGUAAUACGUAGGGUGCAAGCGUUAAUCGGAAUUACUGGGCGUAAAGCGUGCGCAGGCGGUUCGCUAAGACCGAUGUGAAAUCCCCGGGCU
rnacentral:rRNA from 1 species